AACGAACGCUGGCGGCAUGCCUAACACAUGCAAGUCGAACGAGACCUUCGGGUCUAGUGGCGCACGGGUGCGUAACGCGUGGGAAUCUGCCCUGGGGGUGCGGAAUAACUCGGAGAAAUCCGUGCUAAUACCGCAUAAUGUCUUCGGACCAAAGAUUUAUCGCCCUGGGAUGAGCCCGCGUAGGAUUAGCUAGUUGGUGGGGUAAAGGCCUACCAAGGCGACGAUCCUUAGCUGGUCUGAGAGGAUGAUCAGCCACACUGGGACUGAGACACGGCCCAGACUCCUACGGGAGGCAGCAGUGGGGAAUAUUGGACAAUGGGCGAAAGCCUGAUCCAGCAAUGCCGCGUGAGUGAUGAAGGCCCUAGGGUUGGUAAAGUACUCUUUUACCUUGGGAGUGAUAAUGACAGUACCGGGAGGAAU
rnacentral:rRNA from 1 species